rnacentral:rRNA from 1 species
UAAACGACUCUCGGCAACGGAUAUCUCGGCUCUCGCAUCGAUGAAGAACGUAGCGAAAUGCGAUACUUGGUGUGAAUUGCAGAAUCCCGUGAACCAUCGAGUCUUUGAACGCAAGUUGCGCCCGAAGCCAUUUGGCUAAGGGCACGUCUGCCUGGGCGUCACGC